CCCCGGGCUGUGCCGGGUGCUGGGAGGCGGCUGCGGGAUGAGGAGGCUGCGCGUGGGGGUUCGUGGAGUGCGGGGAUGGAGUUUUUGGGCAAAAAAGGGUCGCUUAGCACGAUAUUUACUAUGAAAAGUCAUAAAGAAUAGACUGGAAGAUAUUUCAGAGAUAACUGGUUUCCCACCCCCCAGAGUAGUCCUGAUGGUCUUGGAGACGCAGCUUCCUUCAGGAUCUGCUGUGCGGUGUAAGGACCGGAGUGGGUCGGAUUCGCCCCAGGAGAGGGCAGCAGUGUGCUUGCACAAAACCGCCCUAUCUUGGCUGUGUAGGGUCUUUCUUUUGUACCGAGUAUCGAAUUCCUAUUAAACCAAUUUUAAAAGCAGUACA